GACGAACGCUGGCGGCGAGCCUAAUACAUGCAAGUAGGACGCACAGUUUAUACCGUAGCUUGCUACACCAUAGACUGUGAGUUGCGAACGGGUGAGUAACGCGUAGGUAACCUACCUAUUAGAGGGGGAUAACUAUUGGAAACGAUAGCUAAUACCGCAUAACAGUAUGUAACACAUGUUAGAUGCUUGAAAGAUGCAAUUGCAUCGCUAGUAGAUGGACCUGCGUUGUAUUAGCUAGUAGGUAGGGUAAAGGCCUACCUAGGCAACGAUACAUAGCCGACCUGAGAGGGUGAUCGGCCACACUGGGACUGAGACACGGCCCAGGCUCCUACGGGAGGCAGCAGUAGGGAAUCUUCGGCAAUGGGGGGAACCCUGACCGAGCAACGCCGCGUGAGUGAAGAAGGUUUUCGGAUCGUAAAGCUCUGUUGUUAAGGAAGAACGAGUGUGAGAAUGGAAAGUUCAUGCUGUGACG
rnacentral:rRNA from 1 species